rnacentral:rRNA from 1 species
UGGCUCAGAUUGAACGCUGGCGGCAGGCCUAACACAUGCAAGUCGAGCGGAAACGAUGGAAGCUUGCUUCCAGGCGUCGAGCGGCGGACGGGUGAGUAAUGCAUGGGAAUCUGCCCGAUAGUGGGGGAUAACCUGGGGAAACCCAGGCUAAUACCGCAUACGUCCUACGGGAGAAAGCAGGGGAUCUUCGGACCUUGCGCUAUCGGAUGAGCCCAUGUCGGAUUAGCUUGUUGGUGGGGUAAUGGCCUACCAAGGCGACGAUCCGUAGCUGGUCUGAGAGGAUGAUCAGCCACAUCGGGACUGAGACACGGCCCGAACUCCUACGGGAGGCAGCAGUGGGGAAUAUUGGACAAUGGGCGAAAGCCUGAUCCAGCCAUGCCGCGUGUGUGAAGAAGGCCUUCGGGUUGUAAAGCACUUUCAGUGAGGAAGAACGCCUCUGGCUUAAUACGUCAGAGGGAAGACAUCACUCACAGAAGAAGCACCGGCUAACUCCGUGCCAGCAGCCGCGGUAAUACGGAGGGUGCGAGCGUUAAUCGGAAUUACUGGGCGUAAAGCGCGCGUAGGUGGCUUGAUAAGCCGGUUGUGAAAGCCCCGGGCUCAACCUGGGAAUGGCAUCCGGAACUGUCAGGCUAGAGUGCAGGAGAGGAAGGUAGAAUUCCCGGUGUAGCGGUGAAAUGCGUAGAGAUCGGGAGGAAUACCAGUGGCGAAGGCGGCCUUCUGGACUGACACUGACACUGAGGUGCGAAAGCGUGGGUAGCAAACAGGAUUAGAUACCCUGGUAGUCCACGCCGUAAACGAUGUCGACUAGCCGUUGGGCUCCUUGAGAGCUUUGUGGCGCAGUUAACGCGAUAAGUCGACCGCCUGGGGAGUACGGCCGCAAGGUUAAAACUCAAAUGAAUUGACGGGGGCCCGCACAAGCGGUGGAGCAUGUGGUUUAAUUCGAUGCAACGCGAAGAACCUUACCUACCCUUGACAUCGAGAGAACUUUCGCAGAGAUGGAUUGGUGCCUUCGGGAACUCUCAGACAGGUGCUGCAUGGC